CACGUGGACAAUCUAACCUAAGGUGGGGGAUAACCCCGGGAAACUGGGGAUAAUACCCCAUAGACUAUGGGUGCUGGAAUGCUCUGUAGUUGAAAGGUCCGCCGCCAUAGGAUGAGUCUGCGGCCGAUUAGGUUGUUGUUGGGGUAACGGCCCAACAAGCCUGUAAUCGGUACGGGUUGUGGGAGCAAGAGCCCGGAGAUGGAUUCUGAGACACGAAUCCAGGCCCUACGGGGCGCAGCAGGCGCGAAAACUUUACAAUGCGGGAAACCGUGAUAAGGGAACUCCGAGUGCCCGUAAAAUCGGGCUGUCCACCAGUGCAAAUAACUGGUGAAGAAAGGGCCGGGCAAGACCGGUGCCAGCCGCCGCGGUAAUACCGGCGGCUCGAGUGGUGGCCACUAUUACUGGGCUUAAAGCGUUCGUAGCUGGUCUGUUAAGUCUCUGGGGAAAUCUACUGGCUUAACCAAUAGGCAUCUCAGGGAUACUGGCAGACUAGGGACCGGGAGAGGUGAGGGGUACUCCAGGGGUAGGAGUGAAAUCCUGUAAUCCUUGGGGGACCACCUGUGGCGAAGG
rnacentral:rRNA from 1 species